rnacentral:rRNA from 1 species
UACAGAGGUCCCGGAGCGUUGUUCGGAUUCAUUGGGCGUAAAGGGUGCGUAGGCGGCUUCCUAAGUUUGAUGUGAAAUCCUGGGGCUCAACCCUGGAACUGCAUUGAAUACUGGGAGGCUAGAGUACUGGAGAGGAAACUGGAAUUUACGGUGUAGCAGUGAAAUGCGUAGAGAUCGUAAGGAAGACCAGUGGCGAAGGCGAGUUUCUGGACAGUUACUGACGCUGAGGCACGAAGGCCAGGGGAGCAAACGGG